CGAUCGGGAGGCCCCUGGUGGGACAGGGGCCAGGAAUGGAUCGGUGAUCGCCGUCUCGUAUGGACGUGCCGCUGGGGCCCGACAGCCAGCGCG
rfam:Salipiger mucosus DSM 16094 genomic scaffold scaffold1, whole genome shotgun sequence.